CUCAACCUUCAGUGCACACACACUCACACAUACAUUCAAACCACUGCUAUCCAUUACCACGGUCGCCGUCAUCAUGAGAGCCGGGGUGAGAGCGUUGCUGCUGGUGCUAGCGGCCGGCGUGUGUGUGUCGCACGCACAGAACAACAAUAGCAACGACAACAAGCAGCCGGCGGCGCAGCAGCAGCAACCGCGUAGCAUCUGGGACGACCCCAUCAGGUUCAACACCAAAGCCAAGGAUGCCUGCACCAUGGUGGUGUCCGGCGCAGGGGACUACACCCGCCUUAGAGUGUCCUGCAAAGGUCCCAGCCAGGGCCAGAGCCAGGGGCGUUCUUACUACUGUGAUUUCCAGGGCAAGCCUAACCUCUGCCGCGCCUACAACACCAACCCUCGCCACUACUUCACCCAGCUGAUGUGGGACAUGCGCAAGCAGAACCAUGCGUGCCAGGGACCCAAAGUCUUCCGCCCCCAGAUGUGUAAGAAGUACCCUGAGGAAGCCCACAUGACCUUCCUGGCAUCCUGGCCCAAAACCACCACCCCUAAGCCUGCCAAACCCGCCGUGGAGCGCAAACCCAUUACCUCCCAGUCCAAGCCUGCUGCCACCAAGGCCUCCCCAGCCCAGCCCAAGCCCCAGCCUGCCAAGCCCCAGCCUGCCAAGCCCCAGCCUGGCAAGGGCCCUGUCAAGAAGCCCACAGUCAAGCCUGGGAAGACCACCACCAAGCCCACGGAGCAGCCUGACGCCAAGGCAUCCCGCCUGGCACAGGAGUACUGCUGGAAGAGCUUCAAAGGGAUCUGCACCUACUUCAUCAGCUGGUUCCAGAACUAAUGGAACACAAGAACACAUGCAGAACACAUGCAGAACACAGGUAGGCAGAACACAGCAGGGUUUGUAACUUCAUCGACAGAGAGUAACACCAGCUAACAUGAGGGCGUGGGGUGGUGGUGUGUGGAGGGCUGGGGAGCACAGCCCUGUGUCCACAAGCCCUCCUACUCACCUCAAACACCCCAAAACAACCAACUGCAGUAGAUCACAAUCUAACGUCUGUUCAACGUUUUAGUGUGUUGUUGUUUCUCUUUGUUUCUGCUCAUUCACCACAUCUCUUUGUACAUGAAUCAUCAAAUAAAUACUGUGACACACACAAACACAGACACACAGACACACAGAUAACAGUAGAUAUGAGACUUGUGAUUUUAUUUGUAUAUUCUGUAAUAUUCCCACGUCAUGUCACGCUAACACACAUAAUCUGAAAACAUGGAGAAUAAACUAAAAAAGUGAGCAAUAAAGUUUAAGAUACAAAAUUGUGAAUGUAAACAAAAUAAAGUUAGAAUGGGGACUUUUUCUCCUGUAUCCUCAACUUGU